UACAGGGGGUGCAAACGUUGCUCGGAAUUAUUGGGCGUAAAGCGCGCGUAGGCGGCUACCUAAGUCGGAUGUGAAAGCCCCUGGCUUAACUGGGGAAGUGCACCCGAAACUGGGUAGCUAGAGUGCAAAAGAGGGUCGCGGAAUUCCCGGUGUAGAGGUGAAAUUCGUAGAUAUCGAGAGGAACACCUGCGGCGAAGGCGGGUAGCUGGGCCGACACUGACGCUGAGGCGCGAAAGCCAGGGGAGCGAACGGG
rnacentral:rRNA from 1 species